CCUGACGCAGCAACGCCAUGUGUGGGAUGAAGCAUUUCGGUGUGUUAAACCACUGUCGGCAGGGAAUAAAGCCCGCAUUUAUGGGGGGGUGAAUGUACCUGCAAAGGAAGCCCCGGCUAACUUCGUGCCAGCAGCCGCGGUAAUACGAGGGGGGCAAGUGUUGUUCGGAAUCACUGGGCGUAAAGGGAGCGUAGGCGGAUGUUUAAGUUGGAUGUUUAAGACCGGGGCCCAACCUCGGAGCGGCAUCCAAAACUGGGCAUCUUGAAUGGAACAGAGGCUAGCGGAAUUGGGGGUGUAGCGGUGGAAUGCGUAGAUAUCCCCAAGAACACCAAUUGCGAAGGCAGCUAGCUGGGUUCACAUUGACGCUGAGGCUCGAAAGCGUGGGUAGCAAACAGGAUUAGAUACCCUGGUAGUCCACGCCGUAAACGAUGAACACUAGGUUUCGGACUCGUCAACGGUUCGGAGCCGCAGCUAACGCAUUAAGUGUUCCGCCUGGGGAAUACGGUC
rnacentral:rRNA from 1 species